rnacentral:rRNA from 1 species
UGAGGAAUAUUGGUCAAUGGGCGUAAGCCUGAACCAGCCAUCCCGCGUGCAGGAAGACGGCGCUAUGCGUUGUAAACUGCUUUUCCAGGGGAAGAAAACCCCCGAUGUAUCGGGGCUUGCCGGUACCCUGGGAAUAAGCAUCGGCUAACUCCGUGCCAGCAGCCGCGGUAAUACGGAGGAUGCGAGCGUUAUCCGGAUUUAUUGGGUUUAAAGGGUGCGUAGGCGGAUUGAUAAGGCAGCGGUGAAAACCUUCAGCUUAACUGGAGACUUGCCAUUGAUACUGUCAGUCUUGAGUACGGUCAAGGUAGGCGGAAUGUGUAAUGUAGCGGUGAAAUGCUUAGAUAUUACACAGAACACCGAUUGCGAAGGCAGCUUACUGGACCAAUACUGACGCUGAGGCACGAAAGCGUGGGGAGCGAACA